GAUGAACGCUGGCGGCGUGCUUAACACAUGCAAGUCGAACGGUGAAGCAGAGCUUGCUCUGUGGAUCAGUGGCGAACUGGUGAGUAACACGUGAGCAACCUGCCCCUGACUCUGGGAUAAGCGCUGGAAACGGCGUCUAAUACUGGAUAUGAGCUGCGACCGCCUGGUCAGCAGUUGGAAAGAUUUUUCGGUCUGGGAUGGGCUCACGGCCUAUCAGCUUGUUGGUGAGGUAAUGGCUCACCAAGGCGUCGACGGGUAGCCGGCCUGAGAGGGUGACCGGCCACAAUGGGACUGAGACACGGCCCAGACGCCAACGGGAGGCAGCAGUGGGGAAUAUUGCACAAUAGGCGAAAGCCGGAUGCAGCAACGCCGCGUGAGGGAUGACGGCCUUCGGGUUGUAAACCUCUUUUAGCAGGGAAGAAGCGAAAGUGACGGUACCUGCAGAAAAAGCGCCGGCUAACUACGUG
rnacentral:rRNA from 1 species